GUAGGUGGCAAGCGUUGUCCGGAAUUAUUGGGCGUAAAGCGCGCGCAGGCGGUUCUUAAGUCUGAUGUGAAAGCCCACGGCUCAACCGUGGAGGGUCAUUGGAAACUGGAGAACUUGAGUACAGAAGAGGAAAGCGGAAUUCCACGUGUAGCGGUGAAAUGCGUAGAGAUGUGGAGGAACACCAGUGGCGAAGGCGGCUUUCUGGUCUGUAACUGACGCUGAGGCGCGAAAGCGUGGGGAGCAAACAGGGAUUAGAUACCCUGGUAGUCCACGCCGUAAACGAUGAGUGCUAAGUGUUAGGGGGUUUCCGCCCCCUUAGUGCUGCAGCUAACGCAUUAAGCACUCCGCCUGGGGAGUACGGCCGCAAGGCUG
rnacentral:rRNA from 1 species